rnacentral:rRNA from 1 species
AUUGAACGCUGGCGGCAGGCCUAACACAUGCAAGUCGAGCGGAUGAAGGGAGCUUGCUCCUGGAUUCAGCGGCGGACGGGUGAGUAAUGCCUAGGAAUCUGCCUGGUAGUGGGGGAUAACGUCCGGAAACGGGCGCUAAUACCGCAUACGUCCUGAGGGAGAAAGUGGGGGAUCUUCGGACCUCACGCUAUCAGAUGAGCCUAGGUCGGAUUAGCUAGUUGGUGGGGUAAAGGCCUACCAAGGCGACGAUCCGUAACUGGUCUGAGAGGAUGAUCAGUCACACUGGAACUGAGACACGGUCCAGACUCCUACGGGAGGCAGCAGUGGGGAAUAUUGGACAAUGGGCGAAAGCCUGAUCCAGCCAUGCCGCGUGUGUGAAGAAGGUCUUCGGAGUGUAAAGCACUUUAAGUUGGGAGGAAGGGCAGUAAGUUAAUACCUUGCUGUUUUGACGGUACCAACAGAAUAAGCACCGGCUAACUUCGUG